rnacentral:rRNA from 1 species
GGGUUGUGAGGUUAAGCGACUAAGCGUACACGGUGGAUGCCCUGGCAGUCAGAGGCGAUGAAGGACGUGCUAAUCUGCGAUAAGCGUCGGUAAGGUGAUAUGAACCGUUAUAACCGGCGAUUUCCGAAUGGGGAAACCCAGUGUGAUUCGUCACACUAUCAUUAACUGAAUCCAUAGGUUAAUGAGGCGAACCGGGGGAACUGAAACAUCUAAGUACCCCGAGGAAAAGAAAUCAACCGAGAUUCCCCCAGUAGCGGCGAGCGAACGGGGAGCAGCCCAGAGCCUGAAUCAGUGUGUGUGUUAGUGGAAGCGUCUGGAAAGGCGCGCGAUACAGGGUGACAGCCCCGUACACAAAAAUGCACAUACUGUGAGCUCGAUGAGUAGGGCGGGACACGUGGUAUCCUGUCUGAAUAUGGGGGGACCAUCCUCCAAGGCUAAAUACUCCUGACUGACCGAUAGUGAACCAGUACCGUGAGGGAAAGGCGAAAAGAACCCCGGCGAGGGGAGUGAAAAAGAACCUGAAACCGUGUACGUACAAGCAGUGGGAGCACGCUUAGGCGUGUGACUGCGUACCUUUUGUAUAAUGGGUCAGCGACUUAUAUUCUGUAGCAAGGUUAACCGAAUAGGGGAGCCGAAGGGAAACCGAGUCUUAACUGGGCGUUAAGUUGCAGGGUAUAGACCCGAAACCCGGUGAUCUAGCCAUGGGCAGGUUGAAGGUUGGGUAACACUAACUGGAGGACCGAACCGACUAAUGUUGAAAAAUUAGCGGAUGACUUGUGGCUGGGGGUGAAAGGCCAAUCAAACCGGGAGAUAGCUGGUUCUCCCCGAAAGCUAUUUAGGUAGCGCCUCGUGAAUUCAUCUCCGGGGGUAGAGCACUGUUUCGGCAAGGGGGUCAUCCCGACUUACCAACCCGAUGCAAACUGCGAAUACCGGAGAAUGUUAUCACGGGAGACACACGGCGGGUGCUAACGUCCGUCGUGAAGAGGGAAACAACCCAGACCGCCAGCUAAGGUCCCAAAGUCAUGGUUAAGUGGGAAACGAUGUGGGAAGGCCCAGACAGCCAGGAUGUUGGCUUAGAAGCAGCCAUCAUUUAAAGAAAGCGUAAUAGCUCACUGGUCGAGUCGGCCUGCGCGGAAGAUGUAACGGGGCUAAACCAUGCACCGAAGCUGCGGCAGCGACGCUUAUGCGUUGUUGGGUAGGGGAGCGUUCUGUAAGCCUGUGAAGGUGUACUGUGAGGUACGCUGGAGGUAUCAGAAGUGCGAAUGCUGACAUAAGUAACGAUAAAGCGGGUGAAAAGCCCGCUCGCCGGAAGACCAAGGGUUCCUGUCCAACGUUAAUCGGGGCAGGGUGAGUCGACCCCUAAGGCGAGGCCGAAAGGCGUAGUCGAUGGGAAACAGGUUAAUAUUCCUGUACUUGGUGUUACUGCGAAGGGGGGACGGAGAAGGCUAUGUUGGCCGGGCGACGGUUGUCCCGGUUUAAGCGUGUAGGCUGGUUUUCCAGGCAAAUCCGGAAAAUCAAGGCUGAGGCGUGAUGACGAGGCACUACGGUGCUGAAGCAACAAAUGCCCUGCUUCCAGGAAAAGCCUCUAAGCAUCAGGUAACAUCAAAUCGUACCCCAAACCGACACAGGUGGUCAGGUAGAGAAUACCAAGGCGCUUGAGAGAACUCGGGUGAAGGAACUAGGCAAAAUGGUGCCGUAACUUCGGGAGAAGGCACGCUGAUAUGUAGGUGAAGUCCCUCGCGGAUGGAGCUGAAAUCAGUCGAAGAUACCAGCUGGCUGCAACUGUUUAUUAAAAACACAGCACUGUGCAAACACGAAAGUGGACGUAUACGGUGUGACGCCUGCCCGGUGCCGGAAGGUUAAUUGAUGGGGUNNNNNNNNNNNNNNNNNNNNNNNNNNNNNNNNNNNNNNNNNNNNNNNNNNNNNNNNNNNNNNNNNNNNNNNNNNNNNNNNNNNNNNNNNNNNNNNNNNNNNNNNNNNNNNNNNNNNNNNNNNNNNNNNNAGCGCAAGCGAAGCUCUUGAUCGAAGCCCCGGUAAACGGCGGCCGUAACUAUAACGGUCCUAAGGUAGCGAAAUUCCUUGUCGGGUAAGUUCCGACCUGCACGAAUGGCGUAAUGAUGGCCAGGCUGUCUCCACCCGAGACUCAGUGAAAUUGAACUCGCUGUGAAGAUGCAGUGUACCCGCGGCAAGACGGAAAGACCCCGUGAACCUUUACUAUAGCUUGACACUGAACAUUGAGCCUUGAUGUGUAGGAUAGGUGGGAGGCUUUGAAGUGUGGACGCCAGUCUGCAUGGAGCCGACCUUGAAAUACCACCCUUUAAUGUUUGAUGUUCUAACGUUGACCCGUAAUCCGGGUUGCGGACAGUGUCUGGUGGGUAGUUUGACUGGGGCGGUCUCCUCCUAAAGAGUAACGGAGGAGCACGAAGGUUGGCUAAUCCUGGUCGGACAUCAGGAGGUUAGUGCAAUGGCAUAAGCCAGCUUGACUGCGAGCGUGACGGCGCGAGCAGGUGCGAAAGCAGGUCAUAGUGAUCCGGUGGUUCUGAAUGGAAGGGCCAUCGCUCAACGGAUAAAAGGUACUCCGGGGAUAACAGGCUGAUACCGCCCAAGAGUUCAUAUCGACGGCGGUGUUUGGCACCUCGAUGUCGGCUCAUCACAUCCUGGGGCUGAAGUAGGUCCCAAGGGUAUGGCUGUUCGCCAUUUAAAGUGGUACGCGAGCUGGGUUUAGAACGUCGUGAGACAGUUCGGUCCCUAUCUGCCGUGGGCGCUGGAGAACUGAGGGGGGCUGCUCCUAGUACGAGAGGACCGGAGUGGACGCAUCACUGGUGUUCGGGUUGUCAUGCCAAUGGCACUGCCCGGUAGCUAAAUGCGGAAGAGAUAAGUGCUGAAAGCAUCUAAGCACGAAACUUGCCCCGAGAUGAGUUCUCCCUGACUCCUUGAGAGUCCUGAAGGAACGUUGAAGACGACGACGUUGAUAGGCCGGGUGUGUAAGCGCAGCGAUGCGUUGAGCUAACCGGUACUAAUGAACCGUGAGGCUUAACCUUACAACGCCGAAG